GAGUACACAUAUGAAAGGUGUUUAUAAAAUUAUACAAAACUUUUUUGUACUAAAUAAUUAUAAAAACUAUUAAAUAAAAAAUGUUUCUAAUGCAAAUAUUUUAUAAAUAUUUUUUUAAAAAAUUUCAUUUUCUGUAGCACGAACUAUAAAUAAAAUGUGUCCUUCAACAACCUCUACUAAAUGUACAUAUAUGCACCUGUAUCAUUUCAAUUGGAUAACAGAACAUAAAAUGUAUUAUCGUAGAAAUAUUUGACGUUGUGAAAUAUUUUCAAAUGCCACGUAUUCUACUUUACAGACUAUAAAUACCACUGAGAAAAAUAAAAAUUUUUGUGCAAAAGAAAUACCUGCCUACUUAUUGUUCCUCUUCAUCAAAGGAGUCGAAUAAACUUUAUCAAGGCUUAAUACGUCAUAUACGGCAAAAGUUCGAACCAUAAUCCUCUUUUUCCGGAAAAAUCAUGAUCAGAAUAGCAAUCAUUUGUGUAUUGAUUUCACUGGUGAACAGCGAAG